rnacentral:sRNA from 1 species
AAGAAAGUGACUGCCGCCCCGCACAGGGGCAACGCUAAUAGACCGACACGAAAACAGGAUUUCACGCACGCCCGCCCCCCGGGAUCCGGCAACAAAGAUCAAAGCCCCUC